GUGUCCAUGAUCCAUCACUUCCUUUUAUCUGCUUGAAAUGAAAUCACUCUGUUUGGACUGACGAAUUCCAGGACAAGCUCCCUCGCCUGUCUUGUGCGUUGUUCGUCAGCAACCUUACAUACACGUCAAACAGAAACGAAAAAAAAAACAGAUGGAGUAUCACCAUUCCAGUGUAAAAAAGAUCAAGUAAGAAAAUGGCAAAAUGGUUGACCUACUCCAGUCUUGGAGCCGGUUCAACUAAAAAGAGGUAGCCUUGCAUUCUUCCAACUGGCACAGGGUAUAAACUACAGCCCAAUUUGAACAGCUGGCCAUUCUGGAAUGAAGGGCUAAUGUAAUCACGGGGGCUUAAUGUAAUCAUAGGGUUGUGAGGCUACUACUACUACUAAAGUUCUGAAGACUUUGUACAGGCAGUAGGAGUACUAUACUCCGCAGUCCGUACCAAACACUUGACUCGGGCA
rnacentral:lncRNA from 1 species